rnacentral:misc_RNA from 1 species
GAUGAAGAACGCAGCGAAAUGCGAUAAGUAAUGUGAAUUGCAGAAUUCAGUGAAUCAUCGAAUCUUUGAACGCACAUUGCGCCCGCCAGUAUUCUGGCGGGCAUGCCUGUUCGAGCGUCAUUUCAACCAUCAAGCCCCAGGCUUGUGUUGGGGACCUGCGGCUGCCGCAGGCCCUGAAAACCAGUGGCAGGCUCGCUGUCACACCGGGCGUAGUAGAUUUUAUCUCGCUCAGGGCGUGCUGCGGGUUCCGGCCGUUAAAAAGCCUUUUUUACCCAAGGUUGACCUCGGAUCAGGUAGGAAGACCCGCUGAACUUAAGCAUAUCAAUAAGCGGAGGA